rnacentral:rRNA from 1 species
UACGUAGGGUGCGAGCGUUAAUCGGAAUUACUGGGCGUAAAGCGUGCGCAGGCGGUUUUGUAAGUCAGGGGUGAAAUCCCCGGGCUCAACCUGGGAAUGGCAUUUGGGACUGCAAGGCUGGAGUGCGGCAGAGGAGACUGGAAUUCCUGGUGUAGCGGUGAAAUGCGUAGAUAUCAGGAGGAACACCGGUGGUGUAAACGGCUUUCUGGACCAUAACUGACACGGAGGCACGAAAGCGUGGGUAGCAAACAGG